rnacentral:rRNA from 1 species
UACGAAGGGGGCUAGCGUUGCUCGGAAUCACUGGGCGUAAAGCGCACGUAGGCGGAUUUCUAAGUCAGGGGUGAAAUCCUGGAGCUCAACUCCAGAACUGCCUUUGAUACUGGGGAUCUCGAGUCCGGAAGAGGUGAGUGGAACUGCGAGUGUAGAGGUGAAAUUCGUAGAUAUUCGGAAGAACACCAGUGGCGAAGGCGGCUCACUGGCUCAUACUGGACGCUGAGGUGCGAAAGCGUGGGGAGCAAACAGG